AAUGCUUUUGUAAUAAAACAAACUAAAACAGAAAAAAAUCUGUUCUUAUCAGUUUAAUAUCUGAUACGUCCUCUACCCGAGGACCAUAUAUUAAUCUGAUUUUUGGAACAGGAGACGGAAGAGGGCUUGCUCCAACCUGGCCACGAGAUCGAUCCGGUAUUGCAGCUUAAUUCGAACGGUGCACAUCCC